GUGCUCACUUUGGCAGCACAUAUAUUAAAAUUGGAAUAGUAGAGAAAAAGUAACAUGGCUUCUGUGUAAGGAUGACAUUCAAAUUCAUGAAGCAUUCUGUAUUUUU